rnacentral:lncRNA from 1 species
GACACUAGUAUGCUCCACAAGUCAUUGCAGGAGUUGAUAGAUAAAGCUGUAAAGACCACUAAGGAAAAUUCACAACUUCACGUAGUUAUUGCAGUUAACUAUAGUGGACAGUAUGAUGUUGUACAAGCUUGUCAAACCAUUGCUCAAAAAGUGAAGGAUGGCAUUGUCGAACCCGAAGACAUCAGUAGUUUCCUAGUAGAGCAGGAGUUACAAACGAACUGUACUGAUUUCCCAUGUCCUGAUUUACUUAUAAGGACUAGUGGGGAGCUAAGACUCAGCAAUUUCUUACUCUGGCAGUUGGCCUAUGCUGAACUGUUCUUUUCACAUUCACAUUGGCCUGAUUUUGGAGAAGCUGAAUUUUUGGAGGCUUUGUGUUCCUUUCAACAAAGGCAAAGGCGCUACGGUAGUCAAGGCUCCUAGCUUUAUGCCAUGAACUUUUGGAUAAUUGUGAGGCUGAGAAAACCUUAUGGAGAACAUUGAAGGUCAGUUCUCAUGAGAAACACGUUUGAGUACUUAAGAGCUAUGUUACUCUGAUCCUUUUUGGAAGAUCCAACACGGGUGUAACAACAUUAGGUUAUGUAUUAGGUAGAAAAUAACGAGGACACACGGCAUCAAUAGGGGAGUUUGGGAACAAGGUAGUAACGAGAGGUAUAACGACACCAAAAGCAUGAUCGGAGGAGACUACCCUUGACAAAAGAGCCGAAAUCAGCAAUUUGGAAAGCGGUAACACCAGAGAGCAUGAAGUCCAAUGAGUGCAGAAGGGCCCGUGUCCACAUGACAUGGCUAAAAGGACAUAAGGACUGAUGUUCAGAUAUUAUCGUACUAACCGCUAACGGCAUUGCCGUGUGGUCAGAUCCCAUUGAAUGAAGUAUUGUAGGGCUCAAGUGGAGCCAUUUAAUUGGCUCAUGCCCAUCAUUUCAACUUCAAGCAAUACAACAAAAAUUCCAUUCACAUUCUUGCUCUCUAAGUUUUCCUUAUUUACAAGCAGUCUUUACUUUACAAUGUGAUCCUUGUCUCAUCGUCCUCUGAGCGAAAGCUCACAUCUCUGGAUCGAGCGUCUGCAUACGGGAAGGAAGCCCAGUAGCUUCAUCUAGCUUGCUAUUUACUUAUUUCGUUGUUCUUGCUUCAUUGUUACUUAAAGAAAUAGCAUUAUUCGACUGCUAAUAACUAAAUCUUAAAAAGCUAUGUGUCCUUGGCCUCGUUCACGACCCAACCAACUGGAUUGUGUGAGCACCUACUCUAAUCCACUUAGAUAGGAGAACUCUUACCACUCAAUUAAGAAACGGAAAAGUCACAAUGAAAUAUCAUGAAAUUUCUUCGAUUAUUACAAGUCUGGUUACAACUCUUUGAAUACAAAAUAAAUACUCUACCUUGAAGAUCUAGUCUAAACUACAAGAGCUACUACAAGGAAAUUCAAAAAAUACAUACUGCUGGAGAACUCCACCGGUAAGCAUGAAACUACUGAUCCUACAAUCACUAUACCCUUGAAAAGGGUAUAACAAGAAUAGUAUCAAUGCAAACAAUAAGUACUGAUAAGCAUCAUUAGUCGACCUGAAUUAAAUCACAUAAAUAUUUGGAAUGAAGACAUGCACUUUAAGAGCUUUAUUAGUCAAACAACCUUCUUCCCCUAAUUCUUCACCUCCCUUAUCUUUUGCCAAUCUCACUAAUACUAAGUCAACUUCUAUAACAUAUUCGACUCUAAUGCACUACCUUUCAAUAGUUUUGUCACCUCUAAUUAGGCAUUUAACUCUCACUUAAUUAUUAACUUCACCUUACAUAACUGCAAUGAUUUUCAACCCUCUUAGUAACCAAUCAGUUUAGACCUUCAAAUGAUCGUGGCUUAGACUAUUCACCAUUUGGGACAACACCCACAUAAUAUAAACACAUGACCAGUUAUUUGCAAAUAAAUACUACCAUGUAUACCUUAACAACUACCUUUACGCUAAUAUAAAUGCAUGCACCAUUCAGCCUUCCUCAAAUAACACCAAAAAAUUCAUUCAAGUUCAAGGCAAUACAGACAAUAAACUAAGUCCGGACCAUGUCUACCGAUUAUUAACCAAGUUAACAAUCAUCACUCAACAACAAGAACUUACACCUUGUCUCCAAUACACAUGUAAGUAGACAACAAGAGAUACCGAUAUAUUUCACAGUAACGAAUAUAAAUUUUGUCCAAAUACCGAUACAUUUCACAAUAAUGAAUAUAAAUUUUGUGAAGAUGUCCAAAUACUGGUACAUUUCAUAAUAAUUAACAAAUAUUACAACAAUCAUAACCACACUUAUACUGUCAACCAGCUUUUAGCAUAACCUCAUUAUAUGCGAUAUUAACACUUAAAUUAUCAUUCAACGAUUUACUUUCUUUGAACAUGCAUUGUAACAAGUAUACGAAGAAACAAUUAAUAUGUACACAUAAAUUAAGUUGAAUUUCAACUACAUUAAACCACCACCUACUUUCGUAUAUUAAUUGAGGGCUUAACUAGGAAUUGCAAUGUCUAAGAUACACAUCCACACAUAUGGUUCACACCCUAAUACGUCCAACCUUCCAUCUUAAGACUGUGUCAUUGCCAAAUGCAUUUCUCCACCUGGCAUCCUUAUUUAAUUUAUACCGAGUUACCAAUCACCGCUAAUUCGACUUCCAUUAGAUUCUAACACAAUCUCUGGGUAUAAUGCCAUUACAACCAUUCGUAAUUGGUUAACAUAAAAAACAAUACACAAUAGUUCAUGUCACAAAAUAUCUCACACAACAUCAAUUCGCAUUCAAACAAACAAGGAUAUGGUGAGAAAUUUCUAGUAGCCAAUUAGAGCUCUAUCUUUUCUCCAACCAGAACAUGAGGCAAGAAGAUUUGCUGCUAAGAGGGCUUUCAUUCAGAUGGCAGGACAGUAUUGGAAAAAUGAGGUGAGAAUGUCUCUCAAGUCUUCAAUUAAUUAAAAGGGAUAAGUGGAUCCCAUAAUAUUAGUGGGUUAAGACCUUCAAACAACUGCACACAGUUGUUCGACAACUGCAUUAGUUGUCCCGAUAAUUUUUCAGUUGUCCAACAACUUUGCACAUUUUUUGAACAACUUCUUUAGUUGUUGAGACAACUUUUAUAGUUCUUGAGACAACUCCUAUAGAUGAAGACAACCUUUACAGUUGUUGGGGCGAAAGUAUAAAAAUAAAAAGUUGGAAAAAAAAAUUAUCACUUGUACCUAAUUUUUAUAAAUUUGAAGGACCUGAUCAACUUAAUUGACAAACUUAUUUGUCACUUUUAAUUGUAAUCUCUUCCUUAACUAAUCAACCAAAGAUGAAAGUAAGAGAGACAAUUCUUAAGAUUCUUUAAUUCCAAAAGCCCAAUUCUUUGCCCAAGAAUUCUUGUUUGAAUCUUCCAUCCGUAAGCCAAUCAAUCGAAAAGACAAGACACGUCGGCCAUCAUUCGAUGUCGCCACUGAUAAAGCAUGCUAGGAAAAGAAAGUCACCCAAGAAGGCAUGUCCAACCAAAACUUCACUUGUUGUAGUCUCCAUGAAUGUGUAUGCCUAUAUUUCAUCAUUCUCCUCCACCGAAAGCAAGAAUGACAUAAUUAAUCGCGUCUGCAACUGAAAUCCAAGCUGACGAAUAAGAAAGUGUUUGGUUUUGUUUAGUCUUUAUUAGCUUGAUCGCAACAUGAGACACAAAUGAAUAAGCUUUUAGAAUGACUUCAAUUAGCAUAUACACAACAUUACCCCAGCCCUUCUUUUGGUAAAUACGGUAUCUCAGACACCUGACCGCUAAUGUGAAGCAUCUGAGAUGGCCACAAAUUAACAACUGUUAUACACUGAAAAUGAGGGAACGCGUCAUCUUUUCUUCGUUUAUGUCUAAUUUCCUUUUACAUUUCCUCAACUUGCUCAAAGUUGCAAUUACCUGUGCCUUCUAUAUGCAUUUAACGCCCUAGUUUAAGCAAGUGAUACAUGUAAAUUGUUAGGAUUUUUGCCGUGAUUUUCUUACCAAAUUUAAGUUUUAUUUUCCUUAGAAAGAAAAUAAAAGUAAUACCAUAAUUACUUUUAAUUUUCAGAAAAGAAAAUAUAAAAUUUUUUCCAUAUUUGGCUAGUUUCUUUCUUGGAGAAAAUAUUUCUCAUACCCAAGGGCGGAGCCAGGCCUUGUUAGGGGAUUCGAUCGAACCCCCUUCGAUGGAAAAAUGCACCAUUUAUAUAUGGUUAAAAUUAUUUUUAUGUAUCUAUAGUAGGUGUUGAACCCCUUUCGACUAGGUUUUUUUCGAAUAUUGAACCCCCUUAGUUGAAAUCCUGGCUUCGCCUCUGCUCAUACCUUAACACAAUAGUAUCUACAAUGUAGUCGCUUAAAGAGAGUUUUGUUUUAGGAGAGAUUUUAUCUCUCAUUAGUUUUGUGCUUUUUAAUAGUAAUUUUUAUAAUAUGUAGGCCAACUGACCAAAACAUAUAAUAAUUUUAUGCUUUUUUAGUAUAGUUUUCUUUAUCGUUUGAUUUAUCGUCUUAUAAUUUGCAACGAAUAGCUUCUGCAUGACGCCCUCUCGAUUUCGAAACCAACAAGUGGUAUCAGAGCUUACGGUUCAAAGAUCCAAAAAUUUGGUGAAAUGAGAUUAAAUAGGUUCAAAGCGGUUUCAAAUCAAGAUGCAACCAGUUUGGUGAUAAUGAAGUUUUUAUCCAACUACAUAUGGAGAACAAGUUUCAACCCUAUUUUUAACAUUCCUACUGCUACAUCUUUAAAAGUAAAAAUAAGAUAUUUUUUAAACCAAUUUUUAACCCAUAAUAUUUUAAAUUUUAUUUUUAAUCAUGACAAGCAACAGUUAUGAAGAUUAUAUCAAGAACAAAGUUCAUGUAUGUGAUGUGAAGAAGGCGGAUCUAGUGAAAAAAAUCAAGCCCAAAAGGGAGAUUUGUUAGGAUUUUUGCCCUGAUUCUCUUACCAAAUUUAAAUUUUAUUUUUCUUAGAAAGAAAAUAAAAGUAAUACCAUAAUUACUUUUAAUUUUCUGAAAGAAAAUAUAAAAUUUUUCCAUAUUUGGCUAUUUCUUACCAAAUUUAAGUUUUAUUUUCCUUAGAAAGAAAAUAAAAGUAAUACCAUAAUUACUUUUAAUUUUCAGAAAAGAAAAUAUAAAAUUUUUUCCAUAUUUGGCUAGUUUCUUUCUUGGAGAAAAUAUUUCUCAUACCCAAGGGCGGAGCCAGGCCUUGUUAGGGGAUUCGAUCGAACCCCCUUCGAUGGAAAAAUGCACCAUUUAUAUAUGGUUAAAAUUAUUUUUAUGUAUCUAUAGUAGGUGUUGAACCCCUUUCGACUAGGUUUUUUUCGAAUAUUGAACCCCCUUAGUUGAAAUCCUGGCUUCGCCUCUGCUCAUACCUUAACACAAUAGUAUCUACAAUGUAGUCGCUUAAAGAGAGUUUUGUUUUAGGAGAGAUUUUAUCUCUCAUUAGUUUUGUGCUUUUUAAUAGUAAUUUUUAUAAUAUGUAGGCCAACUGACCAAAACAUAUAAUAAUUUUAUGCUUUUUUAGUAUAGUUUUCUUUAUCGUUUGAUUUAUCGUCUUAUAAUUUGCAACGAAUAGCUUCUGCAUGACGCCCUCUCGAUUUCGAAACCAACAAGUGGUAUCAGAGCUUACGGUUCAAAGAUCCAAAAAUUUGGUGAAAUGAGAUUAAAUAGGUUCAAAGCGGUUUCAAAUCAAGAUGCAACCAGUUUGGUGAUAAUGAAGUUUUUAUCCAACUACAUAUGGAGAACAAGUUUCAACCCUAUUUUUAACAUUCCUACUGCUACAUCUUUAAAAGUAAAAAUAAGAUAUUUUUUAAACCAAUUUUUAACCCAUAAUAUUUUAAAUUUUAUUUUUAAUCAUGACAAGCAACAGUUAUGAAGAUUAUAUCAAGAACAAAGUUCAUGUAUGUGAUGUGAAGAAGGCGGAUCUAGUGAAAAAAAUCAAGCCCAAAAGGGAGAUUUGUUAGGAUUUUUGCCCUGAUUCUCUUACCAAAUUUAAAUUUUAUUUUUCUUAGAAAGAAAAUAAAAGUAAUACCAUAAUUACUUUUAAUUUUCUGAAAGAAAAUAUAAAAUUUUUCCAUAUUUGGCUAACCUCUUUUUUGGAGGAAAGGUUUUGAAUAUCUAUUAAUAUAGUCGUUUAAAGAGUUUUAUUUAGAUGAGAUUUUAUCUCUCAUUAGUUUUAUGCUUUUUAAUAUUAGGUUUUAUAAUAUGUAGGUCAAUUGGUCAAAAUAUAUAAUAAUUUUAUGCCUUUUUAGUAUAGUUUUUUUCAUCGUCUGAUUUAUCAUCUUAUAGUUUGCAACGAAUAACUUCCGCAUGAUACCCUCUCGAUUUCUUAAGUCGGUUUUCUUAAAUGUUGGAAUCAAAACAAACCAAUUAAAUUGGUUUUUUAUCGCUUUCGAUUUAUCGUUUUUCCUUUAAAUAUACGACAUGCUUGCAACUACCUAUUGGAUUUAACUAUAUUCCUGCAUAACACUACCUAAUCAAUUACCAUUUAAGUAAAGAAGAAAUUAUACAUGUAAUCAAGUUAUUUAUGAAACCUACUCGAUAAAAUCAUAUGCAUAUAGUUCGAGAAUCUAGCUAUUUCAAGGAAUAAACUUUCUUACGAUGAUUUUUUUUUAAUUUGUAUAAAAUUAUGAGUUCUGAAUAUUGUCGGUUUGGUUUGAUUUUCUUGAUUAUUCUUUGCUUAAAUAUUUUGUUUUUUAAAAAGGACAAUUUCUUGUACUAAAGUUUUUGCGAUGCGCAAGGUCCGGUGAAAGACAAACUAUUGUACACAAUCUGAUACCACAUUUCUACUUGCUUAAAAUUAAAUCAAAUCAAAUUUUGUCGAUACUUAAAAUUAAACAUAAAACCACAUCGAACGAAAAAACGUAUGGAUUUCUUUUAUUUGAUUUGAUUCAAUCUUUUGGUUUUGUGUGAACACCUUACGUGAUCGGUGUUAAAAGUGUUUUAUCCGGACUAGAUUUUUGUUUUAUUCUAUUAAUAGCCACAAGUAUAAUUCCGAGGUUUUCUUCUCGCAACAGCCAACUGCAAUUUGGCUGAAAGCGAUAGCAAAUAGGGAUUAUUUCUAUUGUUAUGAAAGCUCUAAGCAUAUUUAUUUCUAUUGCACUAAACAGAUAUAUUAGAGGUUUAUUUUAACCUUCUUUAGCAAAAAAUUAUAUUAUUUAUACAUAAUUAAAAUUAUUUUUUAGGUAUGUAUAGUAGAUGGUGAACUUCCCUUCAGCUAGUUCGUGUGUGUACUUUUUUUAGAUUUUGAACUUUCUUAAUAAAAAUCUUGACUCCGCCACCAAAUAUAUGGGUCCGGUUUCAUUUAAGUUUCGUCAAUUCUUUUUUUCCAGCACCUUCGGAUUUGCUUUUAUCUAUGAACUAGUUUCUUAGCCAUACACGUUACGAUUGGUGCCUUGUCAAUAUGUACCAAAAUUCUAGAACUCACGUUAGAAAUUAUGUUGGAGAAAAUUACAUAAAAAGUAGCAACAAAAUUCCUUCAAAGGAAAAAGCCAUGCCAGGAUAAUGAAUUUGAAAAUGCAUGCACCAUAUAUUUUUUUUACCAUAGAAAAGAACUACUGCUCAUUAUUAAUACAAACCAAAUUCUUCCCUACAUCGAACUUGAUAGAUGAGAUGCAAAAUAUAUUCACCAUGAAAAAUGAUAGAAGUUUAAGACAUUUCGUAAUAUUAAUAUUAUGAAGAAAUUGCAAGCUUUUCUUAGUGAAAAUUCAAAAAGAUGUUGGUUGCAGAAUCAUAUAAUUUAAAACCAUUUAUAAACCAAAAUAACGCUAUAAUUCAAGGUCAUAUUAUAAAUACAUCAUAUUGUUAAGUCCAUUACACAGUUUUCCGCAUUAGUAUGAAAUCAAGUAGAUAAAUUAUAUUGUUAAGUCCAUUACACAGUUUUCCGCAUAAGUAUGAAAUCAAAUAGAUAAAUUAUAAGUAACUCAAAAAAGCAGCUUCGUGAAAAAUCGUGGAGCAGUUUCCUCAAGCUUGCAAUCGAAAAUAGUGGCAAGUAGCUUCAGAGGCAGCUAUGCAAGCAGCUUUAUCAAAAGCAUCACAUGAAUUAUUUUUGCUAUAAAGGAAGUUAAUUCAGUUGAUAUUGUAUGCAUCAAAGUUUUAAGAGAAAUAAAAUAUAUAUACAUAUAUCUCAGCCCCCAAACUUCAUUGACUAUAUAUCUUAUUAUCCUUUAUUCUAUUACUGUUAUUUUAUAACAGGCCGAACUUGUUAUUUUCUCAAAAAUUUCCUUUCGUUAUCAUUGUUUAUGAGAUAAGGAUAUCAAUACAACUUAAGUAGCAUAAAAGGAUACAGUCAUGAAUAUAACUAAUUUAAAAAUUAGGAAAAAUGAGGUAACUGACACAUAAAAUAGAAAAACAAUGAAGUACGUAAAUAACUAACAUACAAACUUGUCAAUUUGUAGAUUACAUAUUCUUUUAGACUUCUUUUUUGGUACAUAAAAACUAAAACAAAGAGUUAUGUGGCCAAGAGAGCCGUUCGUUUCUUGUCAAUAUUGCACAACACAAGUCUCGCAAGUCAUCUUCGGAGUUGCCCUAAUGAUACGUACUGUUCACUUUAAAUUUAAGUUUGUUAAUUCGAGUCAUCAAAAAGCAAAGGAGCUAGAAGGGUUUAAAAUAAAAAGUCAUAAUACAUAAAUGUAUUUUUUAACUUUGGCCUCAACUGACGUUUAUAUCUUCCAACUUUGAGUGUACAUAAAUAACAUUUAAAUUUGUGUAAAGUUGAAUAAGUAGCCACAUGCAUCCUACGUGACAUUCUACACGGCAAUUUGCAUCUUACAUAACAUAUGCAUGUGUCAACUUGUUAAAGUUAAAACAAGACUAAGUAUCUUAUGCAUAUUCAAAAUUAGAGGACAUAAAUGUCAACUUAAGCCAGAGCUAAAGAGCACACAUUUAUGUAUUAUGUGGGAAAAAAAAUUCAUCUCUCUCCAAUCUUCAAAUCAUAAAUAGGUGAGAAAGAGCCCUUUUGGCCAUUCAAAAAAAAUGGCCUUCUCACUGCAUCUCCAACAAAUCUUCCUUUCAUCCACUACAUUUUCCUCCCAACCUAAAUCUCAAAUCUUCCCAAAUUUGAUAAAAAAAACUUCCAUUCCUCCACUUAUCGUCAAGAGCUCACUUAAUGCUUCGGCUUCGACUUCGGCUGCUGAGAAGGAAAUCCGGUUGCCUCCAGAGCUGAGUCGAGAACUGAUGCCUAAACAUGUAGCGGUGAUAAUGGACGGCAACAGAAGGUGGGCUAAGAAUAGAGGACUGCCAGUUGCCUUAGGUUAUGAAGCCGGUAUUCGAUCUGUUAGGAAGCUUGUUGAGCUGUGUGGAAACUGGGGAAUUAAUGCUCUUACUCUAUUUGCUUUUUCCUCUGAAAAUUGGUCACGUCCUAAAGUAAACUCUAUCACUUCCCUCCCUUUUCUUUUAAGGGUACUUUGUGUCUGGUAUGAAGGAAACUAUUAGGCCUCGUUUGGUCGAAAGCAAGUUAUUUUGGAGAUUAGUUAUCUUAUUUUCAAGGUGGCAUAGAAAUAACACUACAAUUCUGAGAUAACUAAUUCCUGAAUGAGUUAUUGCAUGUAUUUUACUCCAAACAAAAAUAGGAUAUGCUUGUCUUGAAAUUAGUUCUGCGAUUAGUUAUUUCUUGCACCAAACGACUCCUUAUUAUAUUUUCUUUUUUCUAUUUUCCCAUAUUUGGUUGUACAAAAUUUUAAAAAAUAUUUUCUAUAGAAAAAUAAGUUCCUUAAAAAUGUGAAAAAUGACUUCGAAUUAGAAGAAACAAAUUGUAUGAGUGACAUCCUAUGUUUAUUUAUAUCCUCCUAUCCACCUGGCGCCUCCAACCCCUAAUUAUUUUAUCAUGAAUUUUCUUUUACUUACUUAACGAACACUAAAAAUUGAUUGCAUUUUUAAUUUACUCCUUUUAAUUCUAUUUUAAUUUAUUAUUACUUUCUACAUUUUAAUUUUUUUAUUUUUAUUAUUCUACAUAUUUUUUUAAAAAUAUUUUUUAUUUAUAUUUCAUUUCCUUUUCAUUUUUCAACCUUUACUUCUUGUGAUUUCAUGUAAUUUUCGUAUUCUCGCUUUUUUAUUUAUUUUAUGUUAACUUUUUUUUCAUUUGGCAUAAUUUAGUUCGUAUUCUAAUUUUAAAUUAAGUAGGACUCAUUGUUUAAUAAGGUUAUAGACUUGAUUUUUUUUUUUAUAUUUGAAUCAUAUUUAAGUACGUUAUGCUGAAAUUUGACAUAAGAGAAUUAUUUUAUUUUUACCAAAAUUUUUUAACUUAAUGUUAUAUUUUCAGUUUCAAUUCAUUUGCUUUACUAGUAUUGACUUUAAUUUGAUAUUUUACAUGCAAACCAUUCAUUUUUUAGUCAGAAUUGAUAGAUUAUCUUUUUGUCAAAUAUUUUAAUAGUUUAAUGACAUUCUUUUGUCAAACAUGCAUUUCAUGAUGUUUUUCAAAAUCAUGUACUUUAAAUUUUUAUGAUUAAUUUUAUUGAAAUAUACUAUUCUGAAAAAUAUAAAUCAAUUAUUUUUAAUAAGAACAUAUGUUUAUUAAUUAAUUAAUAUAUUUUGAAAGACUAUAUAUAUAUAUAUAUAUAUAUAUAUUAUUUUUAAAGGUCCUUAUUUGUCUAAUAUAAUCUUCACUUAUUGACAAUUAACUUUUAUUUUAUAAAUCUAAUAUAACCAUGCAAUUAUAUUUCUAUAAUCAAACAAAACACUUGUAAUUACAGUGUAACUAUAUUGUGGCAAAUAAAUAAGUGAUCAUAAUUACUUGACUGUGUAAUCACUAGGCUGGUAAUUACUAUCCUAAUAAUUAGACUAAUUUCAAUUACCAAGUCGCGUUUCAAACAAAUCCUGUUGAAUACUGAUACUUUUGUAUUUGUCGUUGUUGAUCGUUUUUCUUUUGUGUUGUUUCGUUUAUGUUAUAGGUGGAAGUUGAUAUUUUGAUGGGCUUGUUCGAAAAAAUGCUGAAAAGUGAACUUGAAACUUUAGCCAGGUAAAUGGUAUAUGCUUGAUAUGGAAUUGCCAUAUCAAAACCAAAAUUUGAAGAGUUUAAGUUUUGUGCUAUGUCAGUGCAUAAAAUAUUUUAUACUAUCAGUUAACUUGAUCUGAUAUUACAGGUUAUUCAAUUAUUUAUAUAAAAAAUAAAAAAUUAGGUAAUCUGCAAUAGCAAGUCAAGUUUACCUGAUAGUGUAGAAUAUUUUGUACAUUGACAGUGGACAAAACUUAAAUUCAAAUUUGAAACGCGAUUUUAGUAUAUGGUAUUUCGUUUUCAUUUUGAAUUUUUUUGGUAUUUGAUACUCAUAAAAAAAAAGUCUGAAACAUCAAAUAUAUAUAUAGUUACACAUACAAUUUACGGAAAAAGGCCAGUAAUACUCUUCAAGGAUUGAAAUUGGUUCAAAAAUACCCUCAGUUAAUCUAUUGGGCCAGAAAUACCCUUCAAGUAUUGAAAUUGGUUCAAAAAUACCUCUUCAUCCAUCUUUAUGACCCAAAAAUACCCUUGCAACUAACAGUUUUUUAAAUCAUAAUUAAAAUUUUGAAAAAAAGGUCAGAAAUGCUCUUCAAGUCUUGAAAUUGGUUCAAAAAUACCCUUCCAUCCACCUUUAUGUCUCAAAAAUACCCUUGCAACUAACGAUUUUUAAAAUCAUAAUUAAAAUUUUUAUUAAAUUUGUGACAAUAUUCUAUUGAUCGAAACUAAAUUGAUUAAAAUAUUAAGCCCAAUUCGGACUCAAUUAAAACUACUCAAUCCAAACCCUACAAAAUUAAUCUUAAUUUUAAUCUGUGAAUGGUGUGAAGUGUGUGGCGUGAAGCGAUCUUGCAUCGGGAAUGCGCUUGUCAAUGGUGGCAAGACAAUUUGAUGUAUAUAAACAAAAAUAGUGAUAACUAUUUAGGAAAUAAUAUAGUAUUUUUUUUUUUACAUAAACUAAAUGUAUCACGUAAAAUGAAAUGGAGAAAGUAACAAGACAGUGUUGCCUAAGACGUGGCAUAACGAAGACAUCUCAAUUAAUUUUGCUAGCUAACAUAGAUAAAUAUACGUCACAAAGAAAUACUAAACUAGCAUUAUAAUUAGCGAAUAGAAUUCUUCACAACAUUACAUUAGACUGAUAGAUUCUAAGUCAAUAAAGUUCCUGCAUUUGAUAACAAAAAUUACUCAUACUACCAGGUAGUUUUAGUUGGGCAAAUUUUGUACGAUUUGAGUCGAAUAGUUUGAGUUGGGUCUGGAUUAAAUUUAACAUUUUAAUUAAUUUAGUUUUAACUAAUAGAAAGUUGCCACAUAUUUAAUAAAUAUUUUAACUAUGAUUUAAAAAAGUGUUAGUUGAAAGGGUAUUUUUGAGCCAUUAAGGUGGAUGUAGGGGUAUUUUUGAACCAAUUUCAAUACUUGAAGAGUAUUUCUGACUCUUUUUUGAAUUUUAAAUUAUGAUUUUAAAAAACCGUUAGUUACAAGGGUAUUUUUGAGUCAUAAAAGUGGAUAGAGGGGUAUUUUUGAAUCAAUUUCAAUAAUUGAAGGGUAUUUUUGGCCCAAUAAAUUAACAGAGGGUAUUUUUUUUUAUCAAUUUCAAUACUUUAACAGUAUUUUUGGCCCUUUUUCGUACAAUUUAUAUACUAUAUUAGAGUGAAGGGUCAUUUUUUUUUUUUAGUUAAGUUCAACUAUGAACUUUUAUAAUGUAGGAAAAGUGAAAAAUUAAUAGUUUAAGUGUAUUUGCUAAAUAGUUGGUGAUAGUUCAGAUGUGAUCGCAUAUUUGCUAGUUCGGAUGUGAAAUUAAAAAAAUCGAAAUACUUUAAAUGUGUCUUUGACCAUUAACUCUCUAUUAUAAUACUAACAAAUAUAUAAACUAAUAUUACUGCACACCUAAUUGCUUAGACAUUGACACUUUGACUAUCCUAUCUUGAUUGAGAUGUUCUUUUUUAUUUUAAUUGAUUAACGAAAGGAACUGUUCUUACUUUCUUUUGGAUAUUUCUCUAUGUGUAAGGUAUUAGUAUGAUAUAAUUAAGAUGUUUCUUGAAAAGUCGAAAUUAAAUUUUUCUAUUAUAUGAGUAUAUAUAAGUCAAAGUCGAACAAACUAUGAUUAUCGAUUUAUCGUACUGCAAAAUGUCGAAAUCAACUUAAAAAUAGUUAACCAUACCAAAUUAAUUUGUUAUGCUAAUAAUAUAGUACUCAUCUUUUUAAAAUCAAAAAUUAAAAUUACCGAAUUGAAUUUUUCAAUAUCAUACCAUGUCCACCUCUACCGUUGACCGACAUACGUACGUUUCUCUAGUAGAGGCGGAUUUGCUCAACUUCUUACGCGUUAGCUUUGACCCAAAUCUUCUAUUUGUGUUAAAGAUGUAUAUAUGUAUAGAUAAUCUAUCUCGUAGUAGUAAAAGUGCUAUGACUUUAAAAUUUAUAAAUUUAAAAUUCUAAAUGCAGAUCUUUUCUUUUUUUAAAUAUUUGUAGUAUCUUCUAUAUCGGUUCGUGGCUGUCUUUUGUCAAACCUGUGAACAAUGUGUUAGUUAAUGCACUUCCUAGGAUCGCACAAGGGAAACUAAUCCCAAUAUACAUUUUUUCAUUAUAACUCAUACAAAGUUUUAUUUGCAACAUAAAACUUUGGAUUACUAGUGUAAUAUUGCAUCAAUAAUACAUUUACUUCCGGUGUAAAAUUCUACUUCACAAAUACAGCGUUUUUCUUUUUUUUGCUUUAUGCUUUACAAAAUGUGGAACAAUAAAUAUUUUUUAGCAAUACCCAAAUAAGUCAUAAGAGUAUCUAAAGACAAAAAUGCUCUUAAAACAGACAAUUCCCAUAUUAAAAUCUCCGCAUUACUUUUCACCGUAUAACUAUCUCUAUAUUAUUAUUUCAGUGCAUAGCAUCAUUGUAUUGUAGUUUUAUAUAACUAGUCCGUAAAUCAAAUGACCAAUUAGUUCACAAUUUGGUUUAUAAUGCUAUAGUUAUAGUAAUUCUUAUUGUUUGGUAUACUACAAUUUUUUAGUAUUACCUCACACGUCAUAAGUGCUUUGGUAAGAUCAUUAAUUAGUUGAAAUUGCUGUCAAGAUGAACGCUUAACGUGUUAAAAUUGGUCGAUUGAAAACUUUUGACUAUUAUUUAUGCAAUUGCUUUGCUAAGAUCAUUGAUUAGCUGAAAUUACUGUCCAGAUCAAUUCUUAACGCGUUAAGACUGGUUGAUCGAUAACUUUGAUCGCAGAGGUUCAUUGUGUUUAUAAGUCCAGCUUCAUUGGUACCAAUACUUAUUUGCACUGUAUGCAUAUUUGAGGUAUUAUGAUUGACUUUGUAUAUUCUCAGGAGUUCCCUUAUAUGGUUCAUUGGAUUUAUACAGCGCAGGGAUUCGACUGUCCAUAAUUGGGGACUCCAGUAAGCUCCCCAAGUCAUUGCAGGACUUGAUAGAAAAAGCUGUAAAGACCACUGAGGAAAAUUCUCGACUUCACCUCCUUGUUGCAGUUAACUAUAGUGGACAGUAUGAUGUUGUACAAGCUUGUCAAACCAUUGCUCAAAAAGUGAAGGAUGGCAUUAUCGAACCCGAAGACAUCAGUAGUUUCCUAGUAGAGCAGGAGUUACAAACGAACUGUACUGAUUUCCCAUGUCCUGAUUUACUUAUAAGGACUAGUGGGGAGCUAAGACUUAGCAAUUUCUUACUCUGGCAGUUGGCCUACACUGAACUCUACUUUUCUAAUGCACAAUGGCC